CUUCAUCGUCAUCUUCAUCAGUGGUGUCUGAAUCUUCACCACUGGAGGAUGAAUAAUCUGUCACCUUAUUUGGGGGGCGAACGUCAUCCACUGCACGUAGCUCCUUGGCCAGAGCCGUCAGGUCCUAAAGGAGGUGAAAGAACUAAAGCCGGAAACAGAAAGCUGCAGGAGAGGAAGAGUGGUUAUUGAGGUACGCCAGCCAAUGAGAAGCCAACGUGAGAGCAGCAAAGCCAAGAGAUGAAGCGAGGAACGAAACAUCGUACAGCUGAUGCUCUUCAAGCUACUGUAGCAUUCUCUGGCCGUUGGAGGGGCGAACCCUCUGAUUUGGAGGAGGCUGAAGGAGGUGGAGAGCCGCAGUGAGAACCGGGCUGAGAGCUUGAGUUACUGGAGCUGCUGGAGGAACUGGAGCCUCCGCUGCCACUGUUACUGGUUGGUCUGGGAACCAGUUUCUCCACUCGCUCCCACAG